rnacentral:rRNA from 1 species
AGAGUUUGAUCAUGGCUCAGGAUGAACGCUGCGGCGUGCCUAAUACAUGCAAGUCGAUCGAAUGUAGCAAUACAUGAGAGGCGAACGGGUGAGUAACACGUUGGUAAUCUACCUUUCAGUUGGGGAUACCCAGAGGAAACUUUGGCUAAUACCGUAAUACGUAAUAGAGUGAAAUUCUUUAUUAUGAAAGGGGCUUCGGCUCCGCUGAUUGAUGAGCCUGCGUCUGAUUAGCUAGUUGGUGAGAUAAUAGCCCACCAAGGCGAGGAUCAGUAGCCGACCUGAGAGGGUGAACGGCCACAAUGGAACUGAGAAACGGUCCAUACUCCUACGGGAGGCAGCAGUAGGGAGUUUUCGACAAUGGGGGAAACCCUGAUCGAGCAACGCCGCGUGAAUGAUGAAGGUCUUCGGAUUGUAAAAUUCUGUUAUAGGGGAUAAAUGAUUAGUGUAGGUAAUGACACUAAUUUGAUAGUACCUUACCAGAAAGCAACGACUAACUACGUGCCAGCAGUCGCGGUAAUACGUAGGUUGCAAGCGUUAUCCGGAAUUAUUGGGCGUAAAGAGUGAGCAGGCGGUCUAUUAAGUUUAAAGUCAAAUCGAUGGGCUUAACCCAUUCUCGCUUUAAAAACUGAUAGACUAGAGUAUGUGAGAGGUUGGUAGAACUCCAUGUGUAGCGGUGAAAUGCGUAGAUAUAUGGAAGAAUACCGGUGGCGAAGGCGGCCAACUAGCACAAUACUGACGCUCAGUCACGAAAGCGUAGGUAGCAAAUAGGAUUAGAUACCCUAGUAGUCC